rnacentral:rRNA from 1 species
UACGGAGGGUGCAAGCAUUAAUCGGAUUUAUUGGGCGUAAAGGGCGCGUAGGCGGAAAUAUAAGUCAGAUGUGAAAUCCCAGGGCUCAACCUGGAACAGCAUUUGAAACUGUAUAUCUAGAGGGUAGGCGGAGAAAACGGAAUUCCACAUGUAGCGGUGAAAUGCGUAGAUAUGUGGAAGAACACCGGUGGCGAAGGCGGUUUUCUAGCUUAUACCUGACGCUAAGGCGCGAAAGCAAGGGGAGCAAACAGG